GACGAACGCUGGCGGCGUGCUUAACACAUGCAAGUCGAACGGACAGGCCCUGCUUUUGUGGGGUGCUCGAGUGGCGAACGGGUGUGUGUCACGUGAGUAACCUGCCCUUGACUGAGUGAUAACUUCAGGAAACUGGGGCUAAUACAGCAUAGAAGCUCCUGCUGCAUGGUGGGGGUUGGAAAGUUUCGGCGGUUGGGGCUGGACUCGCUGCUUAUCGGCUUGUUGGUGGGGUAGUUGCGUACCAAGGCUUUGACGGGUAGCCGGCCUGAGAGGGUGACCGGCCACAUGGGGACUGAGAGACGGCCCAGACUGCUACGGGAGGCAGCAGGGGAGAAUAUUGCACAAUGGCGGGGAGCGUGAUGCAGCGACGCCGGGUGCGGGAAGACGGCCUUCGGGUUGUAAACCGCUUUCGCAUGUGACGAAGCGUGAGUGACGGUAAUGGGUAAAGAAGCACCGGCUAACUACGUG
rnacentral:rRNA from 1 species